AGCCCGAUGAUGUGCGCUGCAACGAGUUGGCGAUGAAGACGGUGUUGGCUAGAGUCACUUUGAUGCCCUUGCCCUUAGAGGAAACGCGCUUGCAGAAUUGGAGCAACGGGUUUAUGUGACCUUGAGCAGGAUAAGGAACUGCCAACACGUGAGCUCUAUAACCUUUAUCACCUUCCAUUUGAUCUCUCUCUCUCUCUCUCUCUCUUAAUUUGGACGACCCAAGCAAUGUUUAAAUGGUAAGCAUAUAUAUUCUAUAUAUACUAAAGCUCAGAGGAUGGGUACUGUUCAUUAACAGUGCCCACCCGGUUUUGUCCCUCGCUUGCUGAGUAAUUUUUUGCCCUUUUCUGGAAUCGUGCAGUUAGUUGGCCAUUUUGCCCUUUCUGCUUUCUGGUGCCGUUCUCCAUCAUCUGUGGUUCUUUGCUUUUCAAAACCCACGCACAUUUUUUAAUCAUUUUUCCCUUUUUUUGGAACAAUUAGUUUUUAUAAUUUUAUUUUUGCUUUUUUGCACCACAAAAUAUGUGGCUGGAUUUAACUCCUAACUAAUAACUGAUAUAAUAGAAAUAUAGUUAGAAGGGUAUUAUUGUAAUUGAGAUAUAUGGCUAUAUAUGGGAUUGUAUAGCUAUCAUUUCCUUAAGUUCAAUUGUAUACAUUUUCUUUAAUCAAUCAAUACAAUCUCUCAUGUUUCUCUCUACCGAUUCUUUCUCUUCCUUUGUACUAAUUUCACCUUUUGCAAUGUAGUUAACAUGGUAUCAGAGCCACCAGCUCACGCCAUUGAUUCUGGUGGUUCCAUUUUUCAUUAUUUUUCAUCUGUUUCUAGCUUAGUUUCUUUCCAAUUUUCCAUUAGUUUCUGUUUCGAAGGAAUACUUUUGAGAUUUCACCACCGAGAGAGAUUUCACCCCAACUCUGUGAGAGAUUCUCCUAUUCAAUGUUUUUUUUUCGGAUUCUUGGGAUCAAGAACCUCAAUUUUUCAUCUGGGUUUCUCUUAUUUCAGUCCGUUAAGAGUAUCGUGUUCGAAAUUUGGUCUGGGUCGAGGCCAAGUUUUUGGAAUUUUGGUGCUUUUUCACUCGAUUGGAGCUUAUUCCUCUUUGAUCUUCGUGUUAUUCACCCUAAUAGACGACUAGGAGGUGUUUCUGGGUGCAAAUAUGGGCGUCGUCGGUGUUGCUUAUUACUAUCGCAAUCGGAUCUGUGCUUGGUUUCUCAGUCAGAUAUUCUCUUUCUUGUCGCUUGGAACCUUCUUUGUUCAUCUGUUUGGUUGCCAAGAAAUUAUGAACAAGAAAAGAUCAGAUGUUGUUGCUUGUGAAAGAUUCGAUCUUUCUUUGUUAGGAUUGGACUUUGCACUGGAAUUGGCUCUCCGCGGCCCUUCCCUAUCUGGCAUGCCGUUGUUAUUAGAGACUCAAAUUCUGAAGGUCAGUGCCUUUCCUGAGUGCUGGGUAGUCGGUGCAUGGAUUCAUAGGCGUAUUCGAUAUAGUUCUUUCUUUUUGGUGGUCAACUCAAAUCACUUUCUGAAUUCUUUAGUGGUGUUUGUUUGUUCAAGAUUGCAAAUAUUGGAAGCUCUUUAUGUUCUAAUUCUGUGCACUCCAACUGUUUGAAGAAAUGGGUCAGUGAAUUCUUUAUUCUCUGGUAUGGAAGAAAGAUCAGACAUGGGUGCACUCCAGGUGUUUGUCGAAAUACCCAACUCAAAAGUUUCAUGUGAAGGUUAUGUUUUCAGUCCCUUUUCUCUGAAUUCUUGAACAAUUAGAAUGGAUAUUUUAUGGGUUUUUCAAGUUUUUUGUUGCUGGUUAAGAAUUACAGCUCUACUACUUGGUUGUGGCUUGUGUUGUCUUUUGGAAGUAUACUUGUUCAAGAUUUGGGUAUUUGUGUUUCUGUUGUGCUCCCAAUUUCAAGAAUAUUGUUGGAUUAUGUAAAAUGGCCCUACCAAUUGGAGUUUUCUUUGGGUAUUCAACAAGGUGACAUGGAUAACAGAUGGCCUACAAGAAGACUCGAGUUUGCAGCGGAUGUGAUUGUGAAUACAUUACAAGAAAAGAAAGAGAGUGGUCAUAGAGGGUUAACCCGGCAAGAUGUGUGAGAUGCAGCUCGCUUAACAUACUGGAGAUACUGGUCUUUUGGAUUAUGUGCUGAAAUUAAUGAAUAAUGUGAUAGUUGGGAAUCACAUUGUGUGUCGUGCAGGGAACCCAUCAACUCGGGUUUUGGAGUGUACAGUUCAUGAUCUUGCAGAUGAGGUUAAGGUCUCGGAACUUGGGAAAAAGAUAGUUGCUCAUUCUUUUCAAUCAACAACUCUAUUUCCUGAAGUUGAGGAGUUGAUGUAUACAAUGAUGUGCUUUAUCAAAUUCAAGAGGGGGCUGCCACCUGGUGAAGUAGUAGUUAUGCCACUGCAUGUAACAAUUUGAGAGCUAAAGCGAGCAGCUGAGAGUGUACUGGGAGAUACUUGUGGCCAUGGGAAUCGAAGGCUUUGAUGAAAUGGAUGAUAAGGAAGUAUUUUUUGGAGUAGCUGAAUUGGGAGCAGAAGUUGGUGUGGCUGCUGGGAUAAACUACUGUUUCAUUUAGUGUUUUUGUUGGAUUACAAGAUUUCAAGAAAGUGUCAAUCUUUCUUGAUGGUUAAGAAAGUAUAAUUCUUUCUUUGAUUCCAUAGAAUUUGUCAAGAGUGUCAUUUUCAUGUUGCUUUAGAAUUUGUCAAGAGUGUCAUUCUCUUGUUACUUAGAAUUUGUCAAGAGUGUCAUUCUCUUGUUACUUAGAAUUUGUCAGUCAAGAGUGUCAUUCUCUUGUUGCCUUAGAAUUUGUCAAGAGUGUCAUUCUCUUGUUACUUAGAAUUUGUCAAGAGUGUCAUUCUCUUGUUACUUAGAAUUUGUCAGUCAAGAGUGUCAUUCUCUUGUUGCCUUAGAAUUUGUCAAGAGUGUCAUUCUCUUGUUACUUAGAAUUUGUCAAGAGUGUCAUUCUCUUGGUGCCUUAGAAUUUGUCAAGAGUGUCAUUCUCUUGUUGCUUUAGAAUUUGUCUAGAUCAGUCUCAAAUACUUGGCUAUUUCAAACUUCACUUGGAUACUCCAAGUUUAGUUUGAGGGGGAGUAAUAACUGAUAUAAUAGAAAUAUAGUUAGAAGGGUAUUAUUGUAAUUGAGAUAUAUGGCUAUAUAAGAGAUUGUAUAGCUAUCAUUUCCUUAAGUUCAGUUGUAUACAUUUUUUCUAAUCAAUCAAUACAAUCUCUCAUGUUUCUCUCUACCAAUUCUUUCUCUUCCUCUGUACUAAUUUCACCUUUUGUUAUGUCGUUAACACUAACAACUAUAACAAUUUGUUUUGUCAUGCAGUCUAUUUGUUUUAUCAUUUUUUUGUCCAAAAACCAAUGUGUUUAUCCACAAGGUACAACAAUUGGUGAUUGUUUAUUAUAUGGGGUGUGAUAUCCACAGACCCCUUUUUACUUCUUACACACCUUUUUAAUUUUCGGCCGUCGGAUCGGAUGAAUUAAAGAAGAUCAAAGGGUAAAAACCAACAAGGGGUGUGUGAGAAGUAAAAAGGGGUGUGUGGAUAGCACACCCCUAUUAUAUAUAUAGUUUUUCUCAUGAACUCUCACACUGGCUGUUGUAACUUCUCUCUCUCUCUCUGAAAGUGGGUUUUCUUUUCUAUGCAUGUUAUUAUUUUAUUUCUCUCUUAUUGUUUCUUAUAUCUACAUGUCCAUUAUCCGUGCUUCUUCUUCCUAUCACUUUGAAGUCUAGUAUUUAAAGCAUUUUCUGGUUGCUUUUGGUUUACAUUAUGUCACGUGUUAAUCAUCCCCUUCCAUUUGAGAGAGAGGCAAAGGAAAAGGGGGAUGCCAUUGCCUGAUGGUAGUAACGAGGGCCCAUUCCUGGAAGCAUAUUUUGGUUGCUUUUGGCUUACAGUAUGCCACGUCUUGAUCAUCCCCUUCCAUUUGAGAGAGAGACAGAGGAAAAAGGGGAUGCCAUUGCCAUUGUAGUUGCCUGGUAGUAACGAAGGCCCAUUCCUCGAAAAAGAGAUAAUAAAUGCGAAGUUGCAGAAAUGGACAAGGAUUGUCUGCCCUCUUUGUUCCCAUGCCCUCCUGUGCCCUUCUGUUUUGUGUGGUCACGGUUAAGCCACGUCAACAUUUUAUAUUAUUUUUUAUAGAGAUAAUAAGACAAAAAUAAAUAUUAAUAUAAAAUGUUGACGUGACUUAACCGUGACCACACAAACAGGAUGACAUGAGAGGGCACGGGAACAAGGAGGGCAUACAAUCCUUGUCCUAUAGAAAUAUAUAUAUUGGGCAAGGCAGACCAAAUAGAAACCAAAUAGUCAAUUAUUCAAAUAUCUAGUGAAUCAAGUAUUGGAGGGUAGAGUUCCACGUCGAAGAUGUACGAAUUUUAUUAUGUACGAGAUUAAAAAUGUAAAAUAUCGUUUAUACUAAAAAUAAAUAUUUAGUGAUAAAAUUCAACACUUUUAUUAAAUUUUUUUGUUUAAAAAAAAAAAACCCUAUUCCAUGCAAUAGGAUGACCGUUAGGUUUUAUUCAUUGAAACCCUUUCGGGCCAGCAUCCUUAUGGGUGCGUUUGGUACGUGGGACGGGACGGGACGGAACGGGACGAGGCGUUCCGUCCCGCGUUUGGUGCGCCAAAAAUGGGUGGAACGAGCUGUUCCACGGGACAGAUUUUGGGUGUUUUUGCGUUCCACCUCCCCCCUGGAACGGGUUUGUUCCACGUAUGUGGAACACAAUGUUUUACCAUUUUAAGACAAAUAUACCCCAUGUCUUUUUCAAAAAUUACACCUUCGUCCCGUCCCGUCUGCGUACCAAACGCACCCUAUUUUAUCCCAAUCCCACGUAAUAUGACGACUUUAGGUUUUAUUCAUUGAAAUCCCUUCCCAACAUCUUUAUUCGUUUGUUUGCAUUUUAUCUAUGCAGACAGAUCAAUGACACCAAUUUUUUUUUACAAUUUUUUACAUAUGUUUUUGAGGAGCCAAAUCCGUAAUAUUUUUCAAUGAUUUGAACCGUCUAUCUUUUAGGUAUUUUCUCAAAGAUCAUAUCUGUUAAAAUCACCCAAAUUUAAAACCGUGUUUUGGAUUAAGGGUUUAGGGUUCUUUGUAGAGCCGUAUUUGUUCAUUUUCUUUACUACAAAUAGUCUUAAUGAUUUUAAUAGACGAUUUGGAUUACUGAAAUGUAUUACGAAAACCGUAUAAAAUGUUUAUCAAAAGUUAUGUAAAAAAAAUUAUGAGAUGGAUGACAAUGACAAUGCGGACAUGUCCGUAGGUGAAUAAGAUCGAUGAUACCGAGCCCAGUCUUAAGGACAAGCUACUAACUAGAUUUGGGUGCUAUUUAAAGGCCAUUGGUCCUACCGUUCAACUUCAAGCAAUCACCAUUCUUCAUUAGCCCUAUUUUAAUUGGUUCUUGACUCAUUAAUCAUAUUUAAGCUAGAGAUAUUCCAUUUGCCGACUUGGGAGAUCCAUAUAAAUAAACAAAUCAAAAUUCAAUAAUUAGAAAAUGCAAAGGACAUGUGGUCCGUCCAUAACGUGGGCUUUGAAAAACGCCUUCUCAAUGUUUCUAGCUUGUAACCCAUUAAGUGGGAGCUUGUGAUGAUAAACGUGUUUCUAGUCAUUUUCCCGUUUUAAUUUAAUAAUAUAAUGUUACGUAUAAAUUUAUUUCCGAGUGAUAUUAUAUUUUUUCAUUGAAACGACAUGUAAUGAUAAACUAAAGUACAAAUACAUACGUUUAAACUCAAUUAACACUUUGUUUGGUUUGAACUUUCAAUCGAUAGACACAACUCACUAAACUUAAUAUAUGUUUGUGAAGAAGUUGACGUUCCACUAUAAAAUUAAUUGGCAAUGUAGGAUGUAGCUUAACUUAUAAGUUUAUGCAAAGUCUCUCCUCCCAUCAAUAUGUGUCUCAUUCUCAACACGCUCCUUCACAUGUGGUGAAUUUUCAAGCAUAACACGUGGAUAACACAACGGGAUGACGUGGAACGUGUGUGACUGUUUGACUUCACACGUGGGACAAUCUACUCUGAUACCAUGAAGAAGUUAAGGUUCUUUUAUAAAACUAAAAAUAAUUGGUAAUAUAGGGAAUAACUCAACUUACAUAUAAGUCUAUGUAAGGUCUCAUUCCAUUAAUGUGUCACAAUUUAAGAUGAUGUCUAAGUUAGAACAAGAAAGUCAAGUUUUCAUGCGUUCGCCAAAAAAAAAGAGUCAAGUUUUCAUGCAAAAGACCAGCUCUUUUGAUUCUAUUUCAUGACGAAUCAAUCUUUACGAAAACAGAAGUGGUACAUCACGUAUUUUAAUAUAAAUGAUGGAAAAUUUUAUUUUUUAAGUUAUUAAUUUUUUAGCACACAUGUCCUAUCAUUUGUUAAUGACAUGUGGUGUACCAUCAUGUGUACCAAGCACAUUGAAAAAUCUCUUCAUAAGCAUGACCAUACUUUUCAAGCUUUAAUGGUACAUGAAAGUCCAUUUGGCGAAUAUAUAAUAAUAAUAAUAAUAAUAAUAGCAGCGUAUAUGAUCGGUUUGGAGAAGGAGAGAUUCUAUUUUUCAACUGAUGACACUACAUAAUAAUCUAGCGGAUGAACAGUGUAUUACUUGAACAGGUCUUUUAUGCAAAGGGGUUUCUAUUUUUUUUUUAAAUAGGGAUUAGAUGUGAGGUUCACUUCACAUCGAACUUUAACGAUCCGAACCGUUUAUUUUGUAAGUCUCGAUUCAUUUUUCAUCCUUGCAAAAAUUCAAAUCAAUCCGAAAUCAUUUGCCUAUUUAAUUAUCAAGAUAAAAUUUCACGGUUUCUUAUAAAACAAAGUAUUCGUUAAUUUCUUUGAACACAAUUAUAUGUCUUAAAUAUUUCCGAUUUAGCUAAUAUUUUACAAGGAUGAUAUAUGGGGUGUAACUUGAAAAAUAGACAGUUCGGAUUAUUAUAGUUCGAUGUUAUGUGGAUCCCACAAUUAAUCCCUAUUUUUAUAAAUAAAAUAAAAUAAAAUAAAAUAAAGUGAGGAUCCCUUCUCUUAAAGAUUUCCUUACUUGAAAACAAUAUAAUCAUAUAUGUAAUUGGUAGUGCUAUUGUGACAAUAAUAUUAGUUUUAAGUGUUUUUCUUUGAUUUGAGAAGACAAAUUUAUAUGACACGUGUGCACAUUCAAGAUAGCAUCUUAUAGUCUUACUCUUUUAAGGUUCUCAUUUUGAGAACAUGUGAGAACCAAAUGCAUAUUAGCCACAAUAUUAUAUUAGUUUAGAUUCAAAGAUAUUUGACAGUUUGAUAAAAACAAUAAUAAAAAAAAUAAAAAAUAAAAGAGAUUUGUAAUGGUUAAUUGUAAGAUCCCACAUUGCCAAGAUGAGUGAUUCUUAUAUUCUCAUCCCUACCUAGCACGAUGUCUUUUAGGAGCUCACUGGUCUCGAGUUCUAUCGAAACUCUGAAGUUAAGCGAGUAGCACGCGAGAGCAAUCCCAUGAUGGGUGACUCACUGGGAAGUUUUCCUUAGCCACUUUAAAUUUCAUGGUCCAUUAUAUAUAUUAUGUUAAUAUACUUUGCAUUCUGAGUUAAAUAAUCCAAGAAUAUUGUCUUUUAACAGUUUUCAUAACCCAAUAAUACUUAGCAAAUUUUAUAUUACCUUCAUUGUUAAUAGUUAAAAAUAUUGUCCGUAAAUUAUUAUUUCAAUUAUUGGAAUGGUUGAUAGGGAUUUUUACCACCUGCAAAAGUAGGAAUAAAAACACAUAAAAAUACUUGCAAGAGUACAAGAUUGUCGUAGUAUAGCAGCUCAAGCAAGGUCGUUUUCUGUAGGGAUUGAAUCAAUAAUUUAUAUUAAAACCAAAUCUUAAUUAAUUAUUUGAAAACAAAGUUUAGAAAAAGGUGAUUUAAUGACCUAAAAUAUUAAAAACGAAUUUAAUUAAAAACAAUUAAAUAAAUUGGGAAAGUAAAGUAAACCAAAGAAAAUAGUUUUGAAAAUAAAUUUAAGCACUAGGGUUUCGCCGUCACCUUAACAACAAUCCUACGUAGUUCUUCCAAUUACUUAUGAAUUACACAUGCAUAUUUUGAAGGUUAGGUUUUCCUAAAGUAUGCCCUACUUGAAACCUCCAACAUAGAACGUAUAUCUAACAUGCAACCCGUCCGUGGCAUCCAGAUCGAAUGUGAACAUGCAAGACUAAUUAAGUUUUGUGAAAUUCUUUGAAAAACCAUACAACCCUUAAGGUGUGUCGUCCAUCCUAAGUAGUUACACAUAUUAACCACAAGAAGUCAGUGCCAAUUCCAGGGACAACCCUCAGCUAGAAUUGCAUCAAAUUACUUUUCUAAAUAUCCUAAUGGUGACCAAUCAUCGAGACAAUUAGAUACUUUAAAGCACAUUGAUUAAUAAUUCAAAACUUACAUGUAUAAUAUCAUAAGUAAAUUAAAAAGAAACUACAUAUUCUUGCUAAGGCUCGUGGCCUCGUCCUAACAAAUGAAACUAGUUACGAAUAAUCAUAAAACAAAAUAUUAUUAAGAACAUAGAUGGAAAACAUUCUGAAAAUAAACUUGAAAGCUCCAAAAUAGUACGUUCUCCUCCUCCUUUAACCCUAAUGGCUAAAUAUCUUAUUUAUACUAAUAAAAAAUAAAACCCUAAAAGGUCUUAGAAUAAAACUAGGAAACAUAAUAAAAUAAUAAAAAGAAAAUAAAAGGUUUCAUAUUUAAACUAAAAUUCGGACUUCUCAGAAAAUCAGUCUUUUGACGGACCAAAUUAACUCCGAUUUGGUCUCAAAAUGUCUCUUUUUAAAUCUGAAGACGUCCCCUAAAAAUUAUCAGAAGGAAUAUUCUUCAAAAUAUGACAUCUUGACCUCCAACAUACCCAAAAUGUCCAUAAAUGUUAAUAUGGGAAAGCUGUGCAUUGGGCCUUAAUUUCAUUGCCAUGGUCAAACGACUAGGUAGAAAAAUCUGGAAUUCUGAUACAAUCAUCUUGAAAGACUCAUGAACAUUCUCCAAUUGGGAUCACUCCAAAAUUCAUCUGUUUGGUUACUUUUUGCUCCAGAGGAAGUCGAAUGUCUUACAUUGAAAAUACAUAACAAAGUAUCAAAAUUCUACCAAAAUAACCAAUAAAUUAAUACUAAGAUUAGGGUAAAGUAUAUGGUAUAAUAUUGACUAUCAAAAUACCCCUAAACUUAGCUUUUUGCUUGUCGUCAAGCAAAAUAAAACUAGAAAACAAAAAUAAAAGCUAACAAACUUAAAAACUUUAUUAAAACUCAACUGAGACAAAAUUUCACUUUCAAGUUGCAAUCCAUAGAAGACGUUAAAAAUUAGAACAUCUUUCCAAAAGUUCCAACGAAUCGCACCAUAGAGUCUAAGCCAUUUAUUAUCAAUUAGAAAAGAAUUCAUGAACUUCCUUUGGUGUAAAGUAAAUCAACAUAGUUAAGGAGACUUGACUAAAACUCUUACUUUUCAUCCUCUUUAUUCCACAUGUGCUAACUAUAUAUAUAUAUCAAAUAUUUUUUUUCUCUUUUUUUUCCUUUUUUUUUUCGAAUCUCUUUUUAUAUUUUUAUUUUUCUAGUAACAGUAGUAGUCGUGCAAUGUUGGUUCACUUAAACUUUCGAUCCAACCCAUGUAGCGAGUUUUAGGUCAAUGACUCCCAAACCACUAAGGCUUUAGGGCACUAGGUGUAGAACACCCCUAAGGACUUUACUUACUUGAGCUUAAAAAGCUACGAAACCAACUAACCACCCUACUCCAUGCCAAAACUCUACCGUUUGACUCAAGAAUCACUACUGAUUAGGCAGGAUUGGCCCGGUUACUAAGCAAAGUCUCAGGUGGAACAAUUAUUACUUUAUUUAUAACAAGAACUCACUUUACUUAAAACAAAAAUUAAAAUUAAACUUAGACUAAAAGUAAGUGUUGCAAUUUCACUCCCCACAAACCAUGUUGAUGUGAAUGUGCAAAUUUUCAAAGUAUAACUCAUGAAUUAGUGUCUAAGCAACAAUAAAUAGAAAAGACUCUACUAUGGGAUUAACUUUCAUCAUGUCCAUUGUGGAGCCAAAAAUAUUCGCUAGGCGACACGUGGACUUUUGAACGGAAGAGGACAAAAAUACCCUUGAGGCAUACCGGGAUUCCUACGCGCAAGUAGUGGGUAAUCAUCCUCAACCAAUUCAAAAAUGCUCCAAAAGAGGUAACCAAUUCCAAAUUAUCUUAUUUUAGGUAAUUAUUUCCAAAACUUAAUUUCCCUAAUAUAUUAUUUAGUUAAUUAAUUAUCUAAAUAAUAUAUUCUUCCCAUAUCUCCUAAAAUCAUCCCUUAAUUAUCAAUUUGAAACAUCCACUCAAACCUAAAAAAUGAUAUAGGGCCGGCUACCCCAUUCAAAGCCUAUUCCAUCACCUUUUUCUACCUUUUCCACCUUUCCUUCCCUUUUAAAUUAGCCAAUCAAUACCAUAAAUACUAAAACAUUUCCUUUCAUAUUUAAUUAGCCAAUUAAUUGGCUAAUUAAACCUAAAAUAAACCCUAAAAUCCCACCUAGUAGACCGGCCACAUUCCCUCUCUUUGCUCCACACCUUUUCAAAUUUCUUCCACUUUAUUAGCCAAAUAAUGCUAGUCAUUCAAUUGGGUAACUUCCCAUUUAUUUCUAUUAUAUUUUAUUAGCCAAUAAAGUGGCUAAUAAAACCACAAAAUUCAUCCCAAAGCACAAAGAAAAGGGCCGGCCAUUUCUUGAAGAUGUGGACCAAUUUGGUCCUAUAAAUAGUCACCCAUUUUUACCAAACACUCAUUCCAAAUCUCUUGCAAAAAUUCCAAAACACUCUAAACACUAUUUCUCUCUAAAAUUCUAACUUUGGCAUCGGAGGUUCUUCGGCCAAAGCCCCCCCCCCUUCAUCGUGGGCGCGUGAGGCUUUUGUCCAUUUGUUAUAACGUUAAAGUAAUCUAUGGAUAUUAACUAAAAAAAUGAAAUUUUUUAUUUUUUUAAUUCAACUCAAAAAUUAAAAAUCUAAAAAUCUAUUUCCCACCCCCAAACUUAAUCUCAACUCCUCCCCAGCCCCUGUUCUCAAGGUGUGGAAAAAGAAACACAUAAAGAAAGAAUAAAGAAAAAUGACCGACAAAAACAACUAACUAAUCAAAGAAACAAACAGUCGACAAAAGAUUAAAAAAUAUAUAAAAAAUAAAAAAUAACAAGAAUAAAUAACAAAAACGAAAAGAAAAGGAACAACAACACCUGGGCUGGAAGUAGAAACUUGCUGCUUGAUAAUUUGAUGGCCGAACAAAAAGCCAUGAAGAGCCCACGUAAACAAAGAAUGCACCAGCCCAUUUCAUCGAGAACCCAGGUAAUACACAUGCCUUUGUCUGCCAUCGCCAUACCGCGAGCCCAGAGCCGAACGCUCCUCCACUCAUUUUCUUUCAUUGCUCUUCCUUUCAUAAAAACCUUGGUUGCUGCAAUCAAAACCAAAGCUUCCUCUCUAGAACUCUCAGAUCCGAGCCACAACCCCCAAACUUAAUCUCAACUCCUCCCCAGCCCCUGUUCUCUCAUCUUCGUUGAUUCUCAGCAGAUUUCCUGUACCAUUCCGACGCCACAGAGGUAUGCCGCCAUCAUUUCCCCCAUUUCUUCUCAAUUUCUUCUUGUGACUUAGAAUCAGAGUAAAAUCGAUACUAAUCUCUCUUGCAUGUUUGUGUCAUGUGGUAGGAAUCUCUUUUGGUAAAUGAAGAGACCGUGAAAAAUGAAGGAAUGACGGAAAAUCAUAGAUCCAACGGUCAAAAUUGGGAGCGGAGAUAUCAAAAACCUGCGGAUCCGAGAUUAUAAGGUAUAUAUAUGCCCUCUUUUUUUUUUUUUUUUUUUUUUUUUUUACAUUCAAGCAGGAAUUAGCUUGAUCUGUGAAUGUGUUAUAUGCGUAUGUUGGUUUAAAAUUGCUGAAUAUAAUGAACUGUAUGAUUUUGGGCCUGUGUAUCCGUGUAUGAAUAUGAUCUCUGCUUGCUCGUAAUUUUCCUUUGUGUUUGUGCAUGUUUCCUGAUGGUGCAUGUUGAGCAAAAUUUUGCAUGAAAUUUGAUCUGCGAUAUGCGGACCCUUUUGCACACUUGGAUCCCCGAUUGUAGAACCGUGUACUUAGAAAAUUGUUGAACGAUCCCUAAACUAAUUUCAUGGGAAAGAGUGUGAAGUAAGUGGAUCCAAGUAGUGUAGAAGCUUCCAAGCAAACCCCACGGUACGCAUUGCCGAAUCUCAACUCAUAUUUUUCUUCGUAUCGGCGCUGCCUAAUCCCAUGCAUGUAGAAGAAUGGAUGAUGAAUGUGCUGGGGUGAAUAAAUGUUGAUUGCACACCCGUAGUUGAGAUUUAGUUGAGAUUAGGCCGAAUCAGUUCCGAAUGCAACCUGCAAAGAUCACACAUUAAAAAUCUAAUUAGAAUAAAAUACUGAUUACCAAAGAAAAAUUGCUGUUUUUGUGGUUUUCAGUUUUCUGAUUCUUUUUUUAAUUUUUAAUUUUUGUGAUAUAGACUAAAAGGAAGAAAAUAAAAUGGACGAAAAUAAAAAGAAAAGAGUUUAGAAAAAUUGGAUUGUCUCCCACUAAGCGUUUUAGUUAACGUCAAUAGCUAGACGGAUUGGAAUGAGGUUUGUGAUCACGUCACUUGUUCUCUUAGAGUUAACCACUUCUUGAUAGAAUCAUACGGCAACAGUAGAUAUGGAAUGAGUUGUUGUUUAUCAGUGGUUGAAUUCUUUGUACUUGCCCUUCUAUGUGAAUGAAUCUUUGUGAUCAAAUAGGAUCCCCUCAAUCGAUGCUUGUGUUUCCCUUGAACUAACUUCAAUCUUGUAUUUAAUACCCACAAUUUUUGUAUAGGUUGAAUGUCUUGACGAAAGAUUGGGCUGCUGUUAAGCUUUUUCUUCUUCCCGUUGUAGAAUGUAGCCUGCUGGAUGGACCUGACCUGCCCAGAUUUGCUUUAAAUUUGAUGCCGUGUAUGUGCUGUCAUGUGAAUUUCCAGAUUCUGAUUUGUUAUAAACAACCCCUUGCAACACGUCAGUUAUGAUGAAUUCCGGCAGCCUCGUUUGUUUCUUUGUAGCCUCUUGAUGUGGUAUGUGUGGCAUAUAAACUUGGGCAGUAAAUGGUUCUGUGGGAAUUUCAGGAUCAGCAUGUGCUUUGUCCUCCAUUGGGCACGAGUAACUGGUAGAUUGCUCUUCAAUUCUGGCGUUUUCCUGCAUGUACUCAUAUCUCGUUGCACAUUGGGGUGUCUGAAUUACACACCAUUCCUUUGAAUCUUGUGGCACAUUAGGCUGCUCAAAAGGUUGUUGAGUACCUCCCCAUCUAAAACCAGGAUGCUUUUUCAAAUAUGGAGCAUAGUAAUCAAAAGUGGGAUCAUUCCAACGCCAAAGUGACUUGUUCCUCAUAUUAAUAUGCUCCUUCACAUAGUCUGGAAAAUAUUUCCUAUCAGGGCAUUGCAAAAUUCCAUGGGUAUUUGAACAACAAAGGGCACAAAUUGUAGGUUUAAAUCCAUAGAAGGCCUGUUUUGUGAAAGAAACCCAUAAAGGUGGUCCUGGUAGUGGCUCCAUCAUUGAAUUGCUCUCAAAAUUAACAAGCCUACAAAAAUAAAAAUAAAAUCAACAAGUAAAUAAAAAGAUAUAUACAAAAAUAAUUAACUAAGAAUAUGAUAAACACAAAUUAUUUGAAACAAUCUCCCGCAACGGUACCAAUUUCUUGAUAGGGAUUUUUAGCACCUGCAAAAGUAGGGAUAAAAACAUUUAAAAAUACUUGUAAGAGUACGAGGUUGUCGUAGUAUAGCAGCUCAAGCAAUGUCAUUUUUCGCAGCGAUUGAAUGAAUAAUUUAUAUUAAAACCAAAUCUUAAUUAAUUAUUUGAAAACAAAAUUUAGAAAAAGGUGAUUUAAUGACCUAAAAUAUUAAAAACGAAUUUAAUUAAAAACAAUUAAAUAAAUUGGGAAAGUAAAAAAAACCAAAUAAAAUAGUUUUGAAAAUAAAUUUUAGCACUAGGGUUUCGCUAUCACCUUAACAAUCCUAUAUAGUUCUUCCAAUUACUUAUGAAUUACACAUGCAUAUUUUGAAGGUUAGGUUUUCCUAAAGUAUGCCCUACUUGAAACCUCCAACAUAUAACGUAUAUCUAACAUGCAACCUGUCCGUGGCAUCCAGAUCGAAUGUGAACAUGCAAGACUCAUUAAGUUUUGUGAAAUCCUUUUGAAAAACCAUAUAACCCUUAAGAUGUGUCGUCCAUCCUAAGUAGUUACACAUAUUAAUCACAAGAAGCCAGCGCCAAUUCCAGGGACAACCCUCCACCAAAAUUGCAUCAAAUUACUUUUCUAAAUAUCCUAAUGGUAGCCAACCAUCAAGACAAUUAGAUAGUUUAAAACACAGUGAUUAAUAAUUCAAAACUUGCAUGCAUAAUAUCAUAAGUAAAUUGAAAAGAAACUACAUAUUCUUGCUAAGGCUUGUGACCUCGCCCUAGCAAACGAAACUAGUUAUGAAUAAUCAUAAAAUAAAAUAUUAUUAAGAACAUGGAUAGAAAACACCUUAAAAAUAAACUUGAAAGCUCCAAAAUAGUGCGUUCUCCUUCUCCUUUAACCCUAAUGGCUAAAUAUCUUAUUGGCUAAAUAGCCAAAAUGGUCCCUGAGAUUUGCAUAACUCAUCACUUUGGUCCCUGAGAUUCCAAAUCAAUAAAGGUGGUCCCUGAGAUUGUCCACCAUCCAUCAUUUUGGUACUUCCGUUAAGUGUCUCAGAGCUCUUGGCCAGAAAUUUGGGCAAUUUUCAAAGCUUCAUAACUCAAUCGUUUCUUAACCAAAUUCGACCCAUAAUAUAUCAAAAUGAAGAUAUGAAAGUGUAGAAUAAGAUCAUAUCCAUUUGGAAGCCCAAUGGUUUCCGGAAAUGGCCAGAAAAUAGCCUCAAAGUUGACUGAUCCGAGGGAAAACUUGAAAACUCGCCGGAAACGAGGUAAACUUUAAACGUUCAUAAUUUCUUCAAUAUUCAACAAAAUCAAGUGAUUGAAAAACAAAAAUCAUACUUCUCAAUGAGACAAAGAGAAUGGUACCUUUUUUUACUACUAACUCACCUUGGUUUGGCCUGAAAACGGCUCGAAAGUGGCUGUCUUGGUUUCGAGUUAUCCACUUUCGAGCCGUGUUUCGGCUAAACCACGACUAUUUAGCAAUCAAAAAAGGUACCAUUCUUUUCGUAUCGUUGAGAAGUAUGAUUUUCAUUUUUGAAUCACUUGAUUUCGUUGAGUAUUGAAGAAGUUAUGAAUAUUUAAAGUUUGCCCAGUUUCCGGCGAGUUUUCCAGUUUUCGCUCAGACCAGUCAACUUUGAGACUAUUUUCCGGCCAUCUCCAGCAACCUUUGGGCUUUCAAAUAGGUAUAAUCUUAUUCUACACUUUACUAUCUUCAUUUUGAUAUAUUAUGGGUCGAAUUUGGUUAAGAAACGAUUAAGUUACGAAACUUUGAAAAUUGCCCAAACUUCAGGCCAAGAGUUUCGGGACAUUUAACAGAGUUUUUAAUGGAAUGACUAAAAUGAUGGAUGGUGGACAAUCUCAGGGACCACUUUUAUUGAUUUAGAAUCUCAGGGACCAAAGUGAUGAGUUAUGCAAAUCUCAGGAACCAUUUUGGCUAUUUAUCCUAUCUUAUUUAUACUAAUACAAAAUAAAACCCUAAAAUGUCUUAGAAUAAAACUAGGAAACAUAAUAAAAUAAUAAAACAUAAAAUAAAAGGUUUUCUAUUUAAACUGAAAUUCAGAUUUCUCAGAAAAUUAGUCUUUUGACAGACCAAAUCAACUCCGAUUUGGUCCAAAAUGUCUCUUUUUUAAAGCUGAAGACGUCCCCUACAAAUCAUCAGAAGGAAUCUUCUUCAAAAUAUGUCAUCUUGACCUCUAAAAUACCCCAAAUGUCCAGAAAUGUCAAUCUGGGAAAGCUGCGCGUUAGGCCUUAAUUUCAUUGUCACGGUCAAACGACUUGGUAGAAAAUCUGAUAUUUUGAUACAAUCAUCUUGAAAGGCUCACGAACAUCCUCCAAUUGGAAUCACUCCAAAAUUCAUCCGUUUGGUUACUUUUUGCUCCAGAGGAAGUCGAAUGUCCUACAUUGAAAAUACAUAACAAAUGAUCAAAAUUCUACCAAAAUAACCAAUAAAUUAAUACUAAGAUUAAGGUAAAGUAUAUGGUAUAAUAUUGACUCAUCAAUGGUAUAAGGACUUAAAAAUUAAAAUGCAGAAAUGUAUGAUGAAUGUAUAAUAUUGACUCAUCAAUGGUAUAACGGUGUUUAAUUGUUAGAAAAAUAAAAUUAUGACAAAUUUUUCUUUUUUAAUUUUCCAGUUGUUAAAAAAACACGUAGACGGGUGAAAAAAGAGUAAAUGGUAAAAAAAGAAAGGAUAAACGGGUUAAAAAAUGAUAAAUGGGUAAACGGGUAAUAAACGGUUACGAUUAAAUGGGUACACAGUUAUGGAUAUGGUUAACCAUUUAUAAAUGGUUAUGGGUAUGGGUAUAACAGUUAGACAAUUACCCAACGGGUAAACGGUUAUGUGGGUAUGAGAAUAAACAGUUAUGGAUAAAUAACCGCGGUUACCCGCCUGCCAUAACCGUUGUCUAUCCCUAAUUAUGAGGCCAAGCCUACCCCCACCCCUUAGUUUAGAUGAUAUCGUUUGUUAAAAAAAAUGCAUUUGGUCCUUACAUGUCCUUAAAAUGAGGAUUUUAAGAGAGCAAGACUCUAGCGUCUCAUCUCAUGUUAAUGAUACAAGAAUAUAUGAGCUUGUUUAAAAGUACUAUUAAAAUAACUGAAAGUAUUUUUUGUACAAAUAUUUUUGGAACCAAUCCUAAAAAAAUGCAAGUGAAUCUUGAAAAAACACUUGAAGUGCUUUUGAAACCAAAACAUAUUUUCUUUAAAAACGUUUUCAACCAUUUUGAAAACACUUCCAAACAAAUCAUAUGUUAGCUUCUCUAUCAUAUUUUCACUUGCCGUGACGGUGUAGUCUGCCACACCGAAACCAGAUCCCCUCCUGAGCAUAGGGUGGGGACCCUCCUGACCGGUCCAUCUAGACCAUUGAAAUUUUAUCUAACGGCUACAAUCAUUAUAACUUUAGAGGGGCCCCCUAUUUGUAGCCGUUGGAUUAAAGCCCCCUAUUUGUAGCCGUUGGAUUAAAAUCCAACGGCCCACGUUAGAGGAUCCCGAGGAGUUGCCUCGGAAGGGAUCCAAUUCUGGGAGGAGGGACUGCUUCCGAUCCAGUCAACUUUUGCGGAUUAUUUGUGUAUUUCCUUUUAUAUAUUUACAUAUAUAUAUAUAUAUAUAUAUAUAUGUAUGUAUGUAUAUAUCUAGAAGGAAAUCAUACCCCCAUGGCCAAGCAUACAUAUUGCAUGGCUAAUUCUCUCUCACUCACUCACUCGACCGGUUUCGGCCUAUACAAUCCAUCUUAUGCCGCUGGCGAAGAGCAGUAGUUGAGAGACUAGUUGGUAAGUGUCGCACCCAUGCAUGGCUUUCCACCCCUUUUAUUUACAUGGCUAUUCACAUGCAUUUUAAAAGCAACAAUAUGUUUGAUAGCACAUUAACAGAAAUCAAAUAUUAAAAUCGUCGCUUUUAUUGAAUAUAAAACUUCUCACUGACAUGUGAGAAGAAUAUAAAUAGAUUGUAGGGUUUAGGCUGCGGUUGUCAAUUUGGACACGAAUUCUUGGAUGUUUUUGUCCGAAGUGCCACCGUCACUCACAGCCUCUAUUGCCAACUCCCUCCAUUUCUUUGCAUUCUUUUUCAUUUCAAUCCCAUCCUCCUCAUCUUCCAUCACUUUCCUAAUGCAACGCUUAAACUCUUCUCUUCCUACCAUCCCAUUAACAUUCUCACCGCGAUCGUUUAUCUCAUCAUGAUCAUGAUCAUAAACCUUCACUCUAACACCAACCUUCCAAACAUCCUCAACUAGCUUGGAAUUAGUAGGCUGGUCGGUCCACUGCGGCAUUGCAAUCAUUGGCACUCCCAAGCUUAAUGCCUCGAUCGUCGAAUUCCACCCGCCGUGUGUGAAAAACAUCCCACCGCCGCAUGCGACAGCACCUCCAACUGAGGGCUCCAUUUUACUACUAACCCUUGACCGCUAUUACUUGUCUCUUCGACAAACUUGGAGGGAAGCUCUGCCUCCCCCGAAGGCCUAACCACCCACAAGAAGUGGAAGCCGCUUUCCUUCAGCCCAAAUGCAAGCUCCUCCAUCUGCUUGUCACUUAGAUUGGCCAUGCUACCAAAGGCCACGUAUACAACCGAGCCUGCGGGCUUGGUGUUGAGCCAGUCUGUGCAGGUCGAGUCGGACUUGAAAAGAUGGACCCCGUAAUCCUUGUCGUCUUUGAUGCUAUUGUCCAAGUAAGAAGAUGGAAUUGUUGGCCCUAUUGUCAACAAAUUUGGACAAUCUUUUGACAUGGAAUCCACCGCCUGUCCUAGCAUAAUUAUUUCAUAUUACAUAUUAGUUACUUUGACAAAUCAAUUAUAUAUUGAUCUACCACCAAAAAAAAAACUUAGUAACAAUAAUGAUUUUGAAUAAUGAUAUUUAGGCAUACAAAAGGGUCACACUCCUGACAAAUUUAUGUCACGACAUAUCAUGUGGGUAAAUAGAAUUACUAGUUGGUAAAUAGAAUUACUAGUUAAUCAACGAUCAUCUGAUAUUUAUAUUUCAUUUAUAGUUUCACGUGUAUUAAAAAUUAGAAACUUGUUUGAUAACUGUUUUCAAUUUAAAAUAAAUAAAUAAAACUAGUUUUAUAUACGACUUUUCAAUAUUUUGGCUUAUCUUGGUUUUCACUUAGAAACAAUUACCAAACAAGUGAAAACUAAAAAUUAAAAAUAUUAUAGAGCGAGACGUACCUCUUGCUCUAACUUGUAGAAAGUAUUUGCAAAAAUGAAAUCAGCUUUGUGGGUGUUAGAAAAUUGGUUCAACACCAUCUCAAAGUAAGCUGGAAACGAGCCCGGGACAGAAAUGAAGGACGGGAAAUCUCGAGGCUCAAGCACGUCAUGCAACCCCGGAACAGAAGAAAUCGUCAGUUUCCCAUGAUGCUGGAGAUAGUAAGUGUAAUUAACCGUGCAUGUUUGAGUAAAAAGGCACAGGCAAGCAUACCAAAUUGUUUGGCUACUUCCAAAGCCCAAGGUAAAAAGGGAUCGUAAACAAUGCAAUCUAUAGGUUGGGGUGAGUUUUGGUGCUUUUUAAUGAGCUCGGCUAGGGUUUUGGAUCCCACGGCUUCCAUCCGGGAUAGAUAGUCGGCGACGCUCCCAGCUUGAGCAAAGCCGCCUUCGUCGUAGCCAUCGGAGAUGGUGUCGAAGUAGACGGAGCCCGAUGAUGUGCUCUGCAACGAGUUGGCGAUGAAGACGGUGUUGGCUAGAGUCACUUUGAUGCCCUUGCCCUUAGAGGAAACGCGCUUGCAGAAUUGGAGCAACGGGUUUAUGUGACCUUGAGCAGGAUAAGGAACUGCCAACAGGUGAGCUCUAUAACCUUUAUCACCUUCCAUUUGAUCUCUCUCUCUCUCUCUCUCUCUCUCUCUCUCUCUUAAUUUGGACGACCCAAGCAAUGUUUAAAUGGUAAGCAUAUAUAUACAAUCUAUAGAACACCAAAUAGUCAAUUAUUCAAAUAUCUAGUGAAUCAAGUAUUGGAGGGUAGAGUUUCACGUCAAAGAUGUACGAA
rnacentral:lncRNA from 1 species